CAAGGAAUUUUCCCCAAUGGGCGCAAGCCUGAGGGAGCAACGCCGCGUGCAGGAUGACGGCCCUCAGGGUUGUAAACUGCUUUUGUAUGGGAAUAAAAAAGUCCUUGCGAGGACUCUUGAAGGUACCAUAAGAAUAAGCACCGGCUAACUCCGUGCCAGCAGCCGCGGUAAUACGGAGGGUGCAAGCGUUAUCCGGAUUUACUGGGUUUAAAGGGUGCGUAGGCGGCUUUUUAAGUCAGUGGUGAAAGCCUAGACACUUAAUGUCAGAAGUGCCAUUGAUACUGAAGAGCUUGAGUCAAGGAGAGGUAAGCAGAAUUUGUGGUGUAGCAGUGAAAUGCUUAGAUACCAUGAGGAAUACCAACAGCGAAGGCAGCUUACUGGCCUUGUACUGACGCUGAGGCACGAAAGCGUGGGGAGCAAACAGGAUUAGAUACCCGUGUAGUCC
rnacentral:rRNA from 1 species